rfam:Lepisosteus oculatus linkage group LG10, whole genome shotgun sequence.
GCCAGCAGCCAUAUCAGCCAUAGCAACUCACAACUGGCAACCCACUGAAGCUGAGUAGCUGUGAGCCUGGUCAGUACCUAGAUGAGAGACCUCCUGGGAAAAACUAAGGCUGCUGCUGGAA